rnacentral:rRNA from 1 species
UGGGGAAUAUUGCACAAUGGGCGAAAGCCUGAUGCAGCGACGCCGCGUGAGUGAAGAAGUAUUUCGGUAUGUAAAGCUCUAUCAGCAGGGAAGAAAAUGACGGUACCUGACUAAGAAGCCCCGGCUAACUACGUGCCAGCAGCCGCGGUUAUACGUAGGGGGCAAGCGUAAUCCGGAUUUACUGGGUGUAAAGGGAGCGUAGACGGCGAAGCAAGUCUGAAGUGAAAACACAGGGCUCAACCCUGGGACUGCUUUGGAAACUGUUUUUGUAGAGUGUCGGAGAGGUAAGUGGAAUUCCUAGUGUAGCGGUGAAAUGCGUAGAUAUUAGGAGGAACACCAGUGGCGUAGGCGGCUUACUGGACGAUAACUGACGUUGAGGCUCGAAAGCGUGGGGAGCAAACAGG